rnacentral:rRNA from 1 species
AUAACCCCGGGAAACUGGAGAUAAUACCCCAUAGUCUAUGGAAGCUGGAAUGCUCUAUAGUCGAAAGAUUUAUCGCCUUAGGAUGGGUCUGCGGCCGAUUAGGUAGUUGUUGGGGUAACGGCCCAACAAGCCUUUGAUCGGUACGGGUUGUGGGAGCAAGAGCCCGGAGAUGGAUUCUGAGACACGAAUCCAGGCCCUACGGGGCGCAGCAGGCGCGAAAACUUUACAAUGCGGGAAACCGUGAUAAGGGAACUCCGAGUGCCCGUAAACGCGGGCUGUCCAUCUGCUUAAAAAACAGGUGAAGAAAGGGCCGGGCAAGACCGAUGCCAGCCGCCGCGGUAAUACCGGCGGCUCGAGUGGUGGCCACUAUUACUGGGCUUAAAGCGUCCGUAGCUUGGUUGUUAAGUCUCUUGGGAAAUCUGUCGGCUUAACCGACAGGCGUUUAAGGGAUACUGGCAACCUAGGGACCGGGAGAGGUGAGAGGUACUUCAGGGGUAGGAGUGAAAUCCUGUAAUCCUUGGGGGACCACCUGUGGCGUAGGCGUCUCACCAGAACGGCUCCGACAGUGAGGGACGAAAGCUGGGGGAGCAAACCGGAUUAGAUACCCGGGUAGUCCCAGCCGUAAACGAUGCGCGUUAGGUGUAUCGGUGACCACGAGUCACCGAGGUGCCGAAGGGAAACCGUGAAACGUGCCGCCUGGGAAGUACGGUCGCAAGGCUGGAACUUAA